AAGGUAGCAUAAUCAGUAGUCUUUUAAUUGAAGGCUGGGAUGAAUGGCUAGAUGAAACAUAAGCUGUCUCCACNGGAAUAUAUAAAAAUUUAAUUAUUUAGUCAAAAAGCUAAAAUGAAAUUAAGGGACGAGAAGACCCUAUAGAUCUUUAUAGAUUUAUGUUAUNAGAGUUAGAUGAGUUAUUUUAUAACAAAAAUUCUAUUUGGUUGGGGUGACAAGGAAAUACAAAAACUUUCUUAAGAAGAAACACAGAUUUGUGAAUUAAUUAGAUCCAGAAUUUUUGAUUAAAAGAAUAAGUUACCUUAGGGAUAACAGCAUAAUCUUCUCUGAGAGUUCUAAUCGAGGAGAGGGGUUGUGACCUCGAUGUUGAAUUAAGAU
rnacentral:rRNA from 1 species